UUUUCAAAACCCUAAGUUUUUCCCUUUUGGCUUCUCUUCUCUGUCUUAUCCCUUUUGAUACAAUCCCGAAUCUUCCUCUCCUCCUGGUGCACUCCUUCUCUUAUCCCUCCCUUCUGAUACAAUCCUUCAUCGAAAAAUACUAGCCGUUCCGUCAGAUCGGUGGUGAUGGUGUGGUCCUUUUGACAGUUGCAACCUUUCCUAUGUAUCCAUUGUUGUUUCCUCUUCAUUUAAAACUGGUCUUUGCAGUUAUAUAUGUAACAAGCCCGAUUCAUAUUUUUCUGAGUAUUGAUCACAGUGUGGAUUGUUUCUUCUUUUUUAGCUUCAAUCAUUCAUUCACCAAUGGCGAAUCACGAUAUUAUCUUUACUCGUGCUCCAGGAUUUCAACACUUGGUCCGUUAAGAAACAAUCCAGAUUUUGUGUGAAAGCUUCUUCUUUGCUGCUUCACUAAGCAGACAAUGGUGUGCUAGAAUGAGGUUCAAAAUGGCCUUUGAAAUAGAGGAUUCAUCACGUUUAAGCUGGUUCAUGGGAACUGUAUCUUCUGUUGAAGUUGCUGAUCCUUUUCAGUGGCCUAAUUCUCCAUGGCGGCUUCUACAGGUUAGUUGGCAUGAACCAGCUUUAUUACAAAAUAUAAAGAGAGCAAGCCCAUGGCUGGUUGAAGUGGUGUCAAGUAUGCCACUCAUUCAUCUCUCACUCCUCUCUCCACAAAGAAAGAAGCUACGAUUCACACACAUUUGAUGGCGAUGGCAAUGGCAAUGAUAAUGAUGUAUCAUGCUUGCUUACUAAUCAACUCAUUCAGGCAUUCAUAAGGAUGGAUCACUAUUAUCUCUCGAAUUAGCUCUUUAUGAUGAUUUACAGCGAGUCCUAGCCAAACAUGAAGAACUUGCAGGAACUCAUGUACUUUCAUCUUAAAGGAUGACAAGGAAAUUGCCAUGAAGAAGCUUUCAGAGACUUUAAAAUAGGGGAAUAGAUACUUUACAAAUGAAGGUAAAUUAUUAGCUUGCAUAUAACAUCGUAAUUUAUUGAGUUUGUUGGGGUAUUGCAUGUUUCCGGUGAAGGUUUUGGUGUAUGAAUGUGCUGUUAAUGAGAGCCUCGAUAAGCUUCUUUUCACUAGAAACUAUGGUAGAAGGUGGUGGUGGUUGCCGCAAAUCUGCUCUAUUCAUCACUAAGUCAUCAUUUAUAAUCGAAGGGUGAUUAUGACUAUGACACAAACUACAUGGAAAUACACUCUGUUUACUCAAGUGAAAAUAGUUAGGUAUUGAUUUUUUAGCCAUUUUUUAUGUCUACUCUUCUGUUGUAUUUCUAAACAGAUACGGAGACACGUGGCAAAACACAAAAACUGUAAGCAGGAAAUGUUGGGAAGUUUUGGAGACCCAUCGAAGAACCUUUUUCUUAUUUGCACAACUGAAGGAAUCAAGUGGGAUAAAGGCGCCUCUUUUGUAAUUAAUAUUAAACAAUAUGCAGCCAGUAAACAAUGCUAGUCUUUUGCAACAACUCAGGUUUUGAAUGUUGUUGGACUUGAUCUCAAGCAAGUAUGAAUAUAAAUAUAUAAUGGGUUAGCUUAACUGUCGAUUUGCUGAUUGUUGACUUCUUUGAGUUGGGACGUAAGUUCAUUGUAUGUUGUUUGUAAUUGGAUCAGUCCUAACCCAUUUUCAUAUUAGGUAUUUACGUUACGCAUGCUAAAUGAUUGACUUUGUUCUUAUACAUUUGUUUAUGUUGCAGGUUUUACAUCCUGUUUAUUCUAGGUGUAUAUUAUAAGGUGCAGUGGUUAUAAAGAGGGCGAAAACAGUGAUGCUUCUGAUGCUUGAGUUUAAGCGCAAAUUGAUCGAAUUAUUAAGAUAUUUAUUAGGAAAGGGGAUUAUUGUAGAUAUAUGGCAGAAUUUAAGUCUGGUAAUGACAAGAAAGAGGUUGCAGAUCUUUCAAUGAAAGCGUAUGAGGGCAUGUCACCUAGCCAAACAGGCAUUUGAUGAAGAGAUUUCCGAGCUUGAUACUAUGAAUGAGGAGUCAUACAAAGACAGUACAUUACUUAUGCAACUGCUAAGGGAUAAUCUCACCUUGUAGCCUCUGAUAUUUCCGAGGAAGGAGAUGAUUCACACAAGCAAGAUGGAGCUACUAAAACUGGUGGCGAGAUCGAGAAUGCAGAGGUAGUGAACGUGUAAUUAUGUAUUAAUCAUAAGUAGUUUUUAAUACAAGUAAUUUUCUCGAGCCAGGGAAGCAAUCCCGGGUGAUAACCUAGUUAUAUUAAUAAAUGACGAUUAUGCCCUUUUCACACAUAAAUUGGGUUUUAAAUAA